rnacentral:lncRNA from 1 species
UUGACCGAUUCAAAUCAAACAAAUUAAAAAAUUGGCCAGAAAAACUAAGAUUUUGAAAGACUAGAUAGUUAAUUCCAAAUAGCCAUAGUUCAGGUAUGUUUUCACACAAUUUUACCUAACUUUUCUCUAGUUUCAUCUUUUUUUCUUUUUCUUUUAGCUUUUACAUAAACUUUGUAGUUGUGCUUCAAUAUUUAUGAGCUUGAUUUUAAUUUUAAGUGUCGUUGGAGAUCACAGAAAGAUUGCGAUAUGCAUGGGUGACGCAAAAGUAUUAUGAAAAUAUAUUAUAUUUAUUUUCAUUUGUAAUAUCGUGUUCUUUGUAUCAUAAUAAAUUGGUUACAAAAUAAGUACGAUAAAAAAAUAUUUUAUUUAUUUUCAUACGUAACAUCACAUUCUCUAUAUCACUAUAAAUUAGUUACAAAAUAUUUUUUUCGAUCCUACUAGAAAACAGGAAAACAUAACUCCCCAAAUCCAUUUUGUCUACUAAUUAAUAUUAGAUGGCCUCGAUACCAAACAAAUUAACCUUUAGUUAAUUUGUGUUUAGGUUGGAAGGCUAUUAUCUUUAUUUAAUUUCCCCGAUGAUGAUGAUGAUGAUUAUUAUUAUUAUUAUUAUUAUUAUNUUUUCUAUUUAUUUAUUUUGUGCAAAUUAGAUCGGAAUGAAUGGUUGAAAUUAAACUCAUAAAGCUUCGCACAACGGUUAUAUUUGAAUAAAAUGAACCAUAAUAAUUAUUUUCUCGUAGAAAUUACUUCCAUUAACAAUUAAUUGCAGAACUGCUAUGUUCAGCUAAGGCUAAAGACGCACUAAUUACUUGCGAAGGAGUGGACCAAUUAUUACAGAGUUAGGUGAUGUUGCAUUUGUUACAAUUAUCCAUUUUGUCUACUAAUUAAUAUUAGAUGGCCUCGAUACCAAACAAAUUAACCUUUAGUUUGUGUUUAGGUUGGAAGGCUAUUAUCUUUAUUUAAUUUCCCCGAUGAUGAUGAUGAUGAUUAUUAUUAUUAUUAUUAUUAUUAUUAUUAUUUGUUUAGCUUUGGGGACCGCUCUUUAUAAUUGUUUCCUUUCUUUGAUUUAGUAAUGUUGAUUGAUGUUGCUUUCGAGUUCAUUCCCAAACUUUUCUCUUUUAAUCAAGCUCUUGUAGCCUACGGGCAUUUUCUUUUAAAUGUUAGGAUGAUUCUAAUUUAGAUUCAUAGAAAAGCCAUCUCAUGUUAAUUUCUGUAAACUUAGUGGGUAUUUGGUUCCUCAAAAAAUGUGUAAAGAAACACUAAUUUUUUCCUAUGUACAAUCACAGACACUUCUAUAAGCUUUGCAUGUCUUUGUCGGACACGUGCGUGGCCGUUUCGAACACGUGUUCGAUGUGGACAUUUCUUAGAUGCACGUUUAAUGCUAAUCCAUAGUGCAUACAAUUAAAAAAGUAUAUACCCUUUUUUUUUUUUCUAUACAUAUAUAAUGUAAGAUGAUAAAUAUUUAGCUUUAUGAUGAAUUAAUGUAUAUAAUUUUUUUGACAAUAUAAAUAAAUUAUGUAAGGUGGAGAAUUUUUUUUAAAAAAAUAUGAACUAUUAAUCAAAAUUUUAUUAACUUUCAUUCGUAUGUGAAAUAUAAUAAUAUUUUAUCAAAAUUAAUAUUUUAUAUAUAAUAAAAAUAUAUUAUUAUAUUAAUAAUAUUAUAUUUUAUUAGCGGUGUCUAUACCGUAUCUGUGUCCUAAUUUUUUGAAAGUUGCCGAGUCGCAGUGUCCGAGUCGUGUCGUACGUAUUCCGUGUCAAUGUCCGUGAUGUCUAAAUUUCCACAGUUUUUAUUUUCUAAAUAAAAAACUA